UACGGAGGGUGCAAGCGUUAUCCGGAUUCACUGGGUUUAAAGGGUGCGUAGGAGGGCAGGUAAGUCAGUGGUGAAAUCUCCAAGCUUAACUUGGAAACUGCCGUUGAUACUAUCUGUCUUGAAUACCGUGGAGGUGAGCGGAAUAUGUCAUGUAGCGGUGAAAUGCUUAGAUAUGACAUAGAACACCAAUUGUGAAGGCAGCUCGCUACACGAAUAUUGACUCUGAGGCACGAAAGCGUGGGGAUCAAACAGG
rnacentral:rRNA from 1 species